AUUGAACGCUGGCGGCAGGCCUAACACAUGCAAGUCGAGCGAGCGGCGGACGGGUGAGUAAUGUCUGGGAAACUGCCUGAUGGCGGGGGAUAACUACUGGAAACGGUAGCUACUACCGCAUACCAUCAGAUGUGCCCAGAUGGGAUUAGCUAGUAGGUGGGGUAAUGGCUCACCUAGGCGACGAUCCCUAGCUGGUCUGAGAGGAUGACCAGCCACACGGGAACUGAGACACGGUCCAGACUCCUACGGGAGGCAGCAGUGGGGAAUAUGGCACAAUGGGCGAAAGCCUGAUGCAGCCAUGCCGCGUGUGUGAAGAAGGCCUUCGGGUUGUAAAGCACUUUCAGCAGGGAGGCGUUACUCGAAGAAGAAGCACCGGCUAACUCCGUGCCAGCAGCCGCGGUAAUAC
rnacentral:rRNA from 1 species